AAACACUAGGCUAGUAAAUACGUCAAUAGGACAACCGACUUCAACAAUACCAGUUGCUGAAAACAGCUGGUCAAAUGAGAAACAUGGGAGGAUUUUAUUUAUUUAACUAGGCAAGUCAGUUAAGAACAAAUUAAAGGAAGGAGAAGGAGAAGUGAAUGUUCACCACCUUAGGUCCUCAGAUAGCAGAAGUGAAUGUUCACCUCCUUAGGUCCUCAGAUAGCAGAAGGAGAAGUGAAUGUUCACCUCCUUAGGUCCUCAGAUAGGAGAAGUUAAUGUUCACCUCCUUAGGUCCUCAGAUAGGAGAAGUGAAUGUUCACCUCCUUAGGUCCUCAGAUAGGAGAAGUGAAUGUUCACCUCCUUAAAUCCUCAGAUAGGAGACGAAGUGAAUGUUCACCUCCUUAGGUCCUCAGAUAGGAGAAGUGAAUGUUCACCUCCUUAGGUCCUCAAAUAGCAGAAGGAGAAGUGAAUGUUCACUCCUUAAGUCCUCAGAUAGCAGAAGGAGAAGUGAAUGUUCACCUCCUUAGGUCCUCAGAUAGCAGAAGGAGAAGUGAAUGUUCACCUCCUUAGGUCCUCAGAUAGGAGAAGUUAAUGUUCACCUCCUUAGGUCCUCAGAUAGGAGAAGUGAAUGUUCACCUCCUUAGGUCCUCAGAUAGGAGAAGUGAAUGUUCACCUCCUUAAAUCCUCAGAUAGGAGACGAAGUGAAUGUUCACCUCCUUAGGUCCUCAGAUAGGAGAAGUGAAUGUUCACCUCCUUAGGUCCUCAAAUAGCAGAAGGAGAAGUGAAUGUUCACUCCUUAAGUCCUCAGAUAGCAGAAGGAGAAGUGAAUGUUCACCUCCUUAGGUCC
rnacentral:lncRNA from 13 species